GGUUGUAUAGUGUAGCGGUUAUCACUCCAGAUUUUGACUACAUCAAAACUUCUGGUAACCCCGGUUCGAACCCGGGUACGACCU
rnacentral:tRNA from 1 species